ensembl:rRNA 5S_rRNA 5S ribosomal RNA
CUUUAUGGCCAUACCACCCUGAACACAUGGGAUCUCGACUGAUCUUGGAAGCUAAGCAGAGUCGGGCCUGGUUAGUACUUGGAUGCGAGACCCCCUGUGAAUACUGAGUGUUGUAGGCU